rnacentral:rRNA from 1 species
AUUGAACGCUGGCGGAAUGCUUUACACAUGCAAGUCGAGCGGCAGCGCGGGGGCAACCCUGGCGGCGAGCGGCGAACGGGUGAGUAAUACAUCGGAACGUGUCCUUAAGUGGGGGAUAGCUCGGCGAAAGCCGGAUUAAUACCGCAUAAGCUCUGAGGAGGAAAGCGGGGGAUUCGCAAGGACCUCGCGCUGUUGGAGCGGCCGAUGUCGGAUUAGCUAGUUGGUGGGGUAAAGGCCCACCAAGGCGACGAUCCGUAGCUGGUCUGAGAGG